GGCCGGGCACUCUAGAGAGACUGCCAGGGAUAACCUGGAGGAAGGCGGGGAUGACGUCAAAUCAUCAUGCCCCUUAUGACUUGGGCUACACACGUGCUACAAUGGCGUAAACAAAGGGAAGCAAAGCUGUGAAGCCGAGCAAAUCUCAAAAAUAACGUCUCAGUUCGGACUGUAGUCUGCAACCCGACUACACGAAGCUGGAAUCGCUAGUAAUCGCAGAUCAGAAUGCUGCGGUGAAUACGUUCCCGGGUCUUGUACACACCGCCCGUCACACCAUGGGAGUUGGGAAUGCCCGAAGCCAGUGACCUAACCGAAAGGAAGGAGCUGUCGAAGGCAGGCUCGAUAACUGGGGUGAAGUCGUAACAAGGUAGCCGUAUCGGAAGGUGCGGCUGGAUCACCUCCUUU
rnacentral:rRNA from 1 species